CCUACGGGAGGCAGCAGUGAGGAAUAUUGGUCAAUGGCCGGGAGGCUGAACCAGCCAUGCCGCGUGAAGGUCAGUGCCCUAUGGGCGUUAAACUUCUUUUGUGCGGGAGCAAUAAUGGUCACGUGUGGCCAGACGAGAGUACCGUACGAAUAAGCAUCGGCUAACUCCGUGCCAGCAGCCGCGGUAAUACGGGGGAUGCAAGCGUUAUCCGGAUUUAUUGGGGUUAAAGGGUGAGUAGGCUGGGAGGUAAGUCAGCGGUGAAAUGCCCCCGCUCAACGGGGUGAAGUGCCAUUGAUACUGGCUUGCUGGAAUGCGGAUGCCGUGGGAGGAAUGUGUGGUGUAGCGGUGAAAUGCAUAGAUAUCACACAGAACACCGAUUGCGAAGGCAUCUCACGAAUCCGCGAUUGACGCUGAUGCACGAAAGCGUGGGUAUCAAACAGGAUUAGAUACCCCGGUAGUC
rnacentral:rRNA from 1 species